GUAUGAAUAUUAGCUGUGUAUAUUUUAGUAGGGGCAGAUCUGAAAUAGCAAUUCAUUAUCAGAUUGAUCGUAUCAAGUAUAUGAUGUACUUCGAAUUCAUUUUAGCAUCAUUUAUAAUAUUUUUCGUCUACAUGUUCUUUCCAAAUAAACCUGC